GAUGAAGAACGCAGCGAAAUGCGAUAACUAAUGUGAAUUGCAGAAUUCCGUGAAUCAUCGAGUCUUUGAACGCACAUUGCGCCCCCUGGUAUUCCGGGGGGCAUGCCUGUCCGAGCGUCAUUUCUCCCCUCGAGCGCAGCUUUCCCCCCCGGGGGAGGGCCGCGCCCGGUGUUGGGGCGCUACGGAGGAGCCCAGCGCUCCCCCGUAGGCCCCGAAAUGUAGUGGCGGUCCCGCCGCGGCGCCCCCUGCGUAGUAGUUUUACAACUCGCAUCGGGUCCCGGCGGAGGCCAGCCGUCAAACCCCCCAACUUCAAUAGUUUGACCUCGGAUCAGGUAGGGUUACCCGCUGAACUUAAGCAUAUCAAUAAGCGGAGGA
rnacentral:misc_RNA from 1 species